rnacentral:pre_miRNA from 13 species
CUGCUCACAAUGCAUCUUGGCACUGGGAGAAUUCACAGUUGAUUCUUAUUCGAUAUUCUGUGGUUCUGCGGGUGCCAAAAUCUAAUGUUUGAGCUG